rnacentral:rRNA from 1 species
ACUCCUACGGGAGGCAGCAGUGGGAAUAUUGCACAAUGGGGAAGCCAUCGAUGCAGCCAUGCCGCGCUGUGUGAAGAAGGCCAAUCGGGCUUGGUUAAAGACACAUUUUCAGCGAGGAGGAAAGGGUGUGUGCUAAUACCAUACAUCUGUGACGUUACUCGCAGAAGAAGCACCGGCUAACUCCGUGCCAGCAGCCGCGGUAAUACGGAGGGUGCGAGCGUUAAUCGGAAUUACUGGGCGUAAAGCGUGCGCAGGCGGUUUGUUAAGCGAGAUGUGAAAGCCC